CUUUUGCGGUCCGAUACAUCAAAUUGGUUGUGGAAUGUCUCGUCUUUCCAUAUCACAGCCAUUUUGAUGAGCUUGGCCCGUAGAA
rnacentral:pre_miRNA from 1 species